CGUGCAGAACAGUUUUUUUAACAUUCAGCUCCUAUUGAUUUAAUGGGGUUCAGAUUUCAUUACCCGAACUUUAGUAAUGUUCAAUGAACCUGCCCCAAACUGAAUACAGGUCAUUCUGCUUAUCACAAUUUAUAAUAAUGCCCUUAGAUAAGUUGUAUAUAUAGUAAAUGUAUCAAUUCUAACUGAAGCACAACUUCUAGCAUUCAUGUCUCAUAUACCGUAGAUGUCAAAUGCCACCCUCUGUGGUACUGGGUUAAUUAAGGGCAAGGCACUUAAUAAGAAUUAAGUAGGUGUGACUUACAUAGCUCAUAUAUAAACUCAUAUGUAAACUGACAGUGUAAAUCUGUGUUUACUGAAAUAACAAUACUUAUACAAUGUCUUACACAAUUCUGCUUCUCCUCUUCCUUCAGAUCACAGGGUCACUCUGUGAUGGAGAGAACUAUAAUGGCGUACCUGUGUGGGCGAUUGCCCUUCUGGUUCUGGCAGGUUUUGUGCUCUUCAUGAUGCUCAUAGCGUUUGCAUUCAUGCUUGCUUACCGUCGUAGACAAAUAUGAAGUACAGAUGUUAUGAAGCUCUAGUUCACAAAAUUACUUUAGGAUGUCCGUCACCUAAAGGACCACUCCAUUGUGUUACCUUGGAGGAAGACUUCAUACCUUUAUCGAAGGAGAUUCUUUAUUAAUUGUGAUCUUGAUUGUGGUCCUUAACCUCUAUCUUUGUUGAAAUAGUUAAUGAAUAAUGUGACUUUUUUAUUAAACUUUUGUUAUUUAAGCAAA